GACUUCAGUGCCGCUGAGGUGGAAGUGAAACAGAGGUGUGGUGAUGUGGUGAUAAAAGUAAGAAAAUGUGCAACCAACCAACUUAAAAAAAAUAAACAAAAGAAAAAUGUCGAUGAAUGGAUAAGAAGACAAAUCACCAAUAAACGAAAGAGUAAACAAAGUCAUUUCUAAAAAAAAGAACUUAUGUCUAUGAAACUUCGAAAAUUCAACCCUGUCAACGGUUCAUUGGCCGAGCGUCAGCCAAUCAUGAUGACGCCCGUGGAACUUCCUAUGAAAACUACAAUGACGUCACGACUCCCGGCGACCAAUCACCAGCCAGGAGCGACAAUGCGAUAACACUGCCGACCAGUUACAACACGAUACAGGUGUCCCCCUUACCCGUGGCCUCCCUCCGAGACAAUGACGGAGGUUACAUCGGUCCCGCUGCCAUCCCUCCCCCGCCCACCCAGGACCCGCCCCUCCCCCACGCCCACGAGAGCCCCCGAGGCCAAGUGCGACGCCCACAGAACGGGGAGGUCGGUCGAGGGCGCGAGGAAGCGGCGGCGGAGGAACGCAGCGGAGGCGGACGGAGAGGAUUCCUGAGACGAUUCCUAGCAGUGAUCGUGGUCGUCCUCGCCGGGGUCUUGGUCUGCCUGGGGCUAGUCAUACACGGUGAGUGCACGAGAGUCAGAGUCAGAGUCGUUCGGUUUAUUUCGCC
rnacentral:lncRNA from 1 species